rnacentral:rRNA from 1 species
AUAAGUACCACAUGGUGCUAGUGGGAAAGGAGUAAUCCGCUAACAGAUGGGCUCGCGUCUGAUUAGCUAGUUGGUGAGGUAACGGCCCACCAAGGCGACGAUCAGUAGCCGGCCUGAGAGGGUGACCGGCCACAUUGGGACUGAGACACGGCCCAAACUCCUACGGGAGGCAGCAGGUGGGGAAUAUUGCACAAGUGGGGGAAACCCUGAUGCAGCGACGCCGCGUGAAGGAUGAAGGUCUUCGGAUCGUAAACUUUUGUCUUCAGGGACGAUAAUGACGGUACCUGAGGAGGAAGCCACGGCUAACUACGUG